rnacentral:tRNA from 1 species
CCUUCGAUAGCUCAGUUGGUAGAGCGGUGGACUGUAGCUGCAAUAUGCAAAUAGUUGAAAUCCAUAGGUCGCUGGUUCAAAUCCGGCUCGAAGGA